UUUUUUUUUUUUUUUUUUUUUUUUUAAUUUGAGAAACUGUUUUACAAAGUUUCCUUGGCUGGCCUUGAACUCACUGUGUAGGCCAAGUCAACCUAGAAUUGGUGUAUUCAUGCCUCAGUCUCUCGAGUGAGAUUUUAGUUACUGUUCUACCAGGCCCCACUAUAAUAACCUUUUAAGUCUCCAACUCUUAGGUGUUAGUAAAAGAAUUAUCGGCCUAUAUUUAUAUUUGGCAAGUUCUCUCGUACAAGGCAUUUGUUUAAAAAAAUUAAUUCGAGGCAUUAUUUGUUGUCAAUGAGUUCAAGUGAGUUAACUAUGGGGAACAUUCUACUCGUGUACAAUUAUUGGGAUGUGCAGAGCUUAUCCAUUAGGCCAAAGGUUGUAGUCGUUGUCCCAAGGUAUUGUUUUGUUCUCUUAGAACUUUUAAGUAAACUUACAUGAUAUCUCAUAAUGCAUCCACACUUACCUGGUUCUUUUCCCCAAACGAGCAGAUAAAAUAUGAGUCACAGAGUAGAUACUGGAGUAUCUGGUAUCUAAUUCUGUCUCUGGCUGUGUACUUUAUACAGGUUGUUUAAAUUUGGUGCCCUGAGAACAUCUAUACAGUGACAAGUUUGGAGCAGAUAAAUAGCUCGAGGAAAGUCCCUUAUAGUUGUGAUGUCACCUGCAGAUACUUUCUUGAGACUACCACUAAGGACAUUGUCCAUCUCAACCUACACUGCCUUCUUGCUGGUCAAAAGUCACUGCUUAAAUUGAGUAGUACAUAGCUCAGACUUGGCACAAUGAGUCUUCAUGCUAUACCUGUCUCUCAGUCACCCUGCCUAGGAUCAAUAGAAGCUGAGGGGGCGGUGCAUGCAUAUAGAGGCAAGUAAAGUGCUAUUAGGAUGUGGCUUGUGUCCUGCCUUUUAAUGAGAGUGUUGCAUAGUAUGCCCCUGUUUGCCUUACAUGUUCACUUGUCUCAGAGGUGGCUUUCUGUCACGGUGUCAGUCCGCUUCGGAUUUAUUUGGGUUGCUUAGGUUUCUUUCAGAAUCUGUCUUGGUUACUUGUCUUGUUGCUGUAACAAAAAUGCCCUGAUAAUGGCAAUGCAGGGAAGAAUGGGUUUAUUGUGACUCACAGUUUAAGGUUAGUACAUCUCCUGGGGACGUCACUGCAGCAGGGGCUUGAAGUCGCUGGUCACAGUCCUGCACCGUCAAGAAGCAAAGAGCUAAGUAGAUAGAUUAAAGUGGAAUAAAAAUGUAAAGCAUUGUACAAUAAAUGAUAUACUCAUCAUUUCUCACACAUGUGAAUCUCUGUGUGUCCUAAACAGUAGCAUAGCUACUUCUGUCUGCCAUGGCUCAUACAUGCCCUGUGCCUGCGUCAUGAGAGUGGGAGAGUGGUGUUAAUAUCAUACCUGACUCUAAACAAAAUUGAUUAAUCACAUCACCUGAGUGGCAUCAUCAUUUGAAACCAGAGGAACAAAGAGCUGUGUUGAGGGACCUCUACCCAGACAACUUACAUAUCUUUGAACAUCGCAGUCGUGCAGCACAGCAAGAGUGGCGGUGAGCGUGUGACGGUGAGCGUGUGGCGGUGAGCGUGUGGCGGUGAGCGUGUGGCGGUGAGCGUGUGACGGUGAGCGUGCAGGGUGGAGAUGAGUUAGCAGCAGACCGUGGCUUUCGAGAGCAUGCUCAGCAAAUGCUAUUUAAACUGAAUUUUUCUUUUAAUGGUCUUGCUCUACAUGUGUAGUUGGAUUUAGAAGGCAACUUCUUCGUGCUGCUACUUUAUUAAAGAUUUAUUUUUUAUUUUAAUUAUGUGUGUGUUGGUGCAGAUGCCUGAGGACUGGAGAGGUUUUGGAUUCCCUGGGGCUGGAAUACCAGGGAGUUACCGGAAGUUGUAAAGCAGCUCAUGUGGGUGUUAGGAACUGACCUGUUAUCCUCUGCCAAAGCCACCUCUCCUGAGCAUUCCCGCUCUGAGACAGAAAACUAAGCCAGAAGGAAACAGUGUAUCUAAGUUUGUACAUUAAACUGUCAGACCUGAGGCUGAAGGCUGCAUCCUCUAACUUCCAAUCCGGAGCUUUUUAUUUUUUUUCAGCCUACUACCCACCCCCAAAGCUGAGCUGAGUGUGUAGCUCCCUCCCAUUGUCAGAGUGCUAAGAGCUUAGACUGAACCAGCCUGGCCUUCAGAAAUGAGCCCUGCAUACUUCAGUGAGAAAACAGCAUACUAUAGGACUUUGAGUAAGGCCUGAACGUAAUCAUGCAGCAUGCUGAUUAGCAAUCAGGAGUUCUCUACAUUAAAAAAAAAAAAAAUUAAACUCAUAUAGAGAAACACUUUCUUAAUUGGGACAUAGUUGUCACUUCAAGAUGAAUUUAUCAGUCAGAAAUACUGGACUGAAUUUAGGGCUUUUUAGAAAUAGAUUGUCUUACUCUCCAAGAGUUCAUGCCAUCAUUUGGUUUAGCCAGGAAAUUUAAAUCAGGAAAUUGCCAAGAAAAAAUAUGAAAAAAAAAAUAAACAAAGUAAAAUUGAAACUUACCAUAAAAUCAAUUUGACUAUUUUAGCUAGGUUGGUAAUAAACAAAUAGCAAGAUCAUAGUUUAGUCUUAUGACUAGACUCUAACUUCCUAUAAUCUGGGCGCUAGUAAUUGUUUAAUGAAUGAUUUAAAACAAAACUAGAAUGGGAAGAAAUUGUCUUUUAUAUAUAUAAAGUAAUUUUAAAUUAUUGACUUUAAGUUAUUAGCAUCUUUACUGUGUGAUUCCCAGAACUGUUUCACGAGUCAGCAUUGGACUGUGGAGCUGGAAAGAUGGCUUUAAAAACCCUUAGGUUUUAAAUCUGGCCUGCUUUUCAGUGGCGUACUCCAGCUUCUUUACUCGUGCUGUGCCACCGCGUGCUCUAAGUAGUGCAGACUCCUCUCUUAGACUACGAGAGAGGCGGGGAUGCAUCGGCUGGGAGACACAGCCUGCCUUCACCUGGCACUUACUCCAGACCAAGUACUAAACUUCUCCAAGGCUCAAUUUCAUCUAGAAAAUGAAGAUAUCUACCAGUCCCACUUCUGUCAUCUAGCUAGUAUUGUAAUCUCAGGAAAAUUAUUUCACACCUCUGAGCCCAGGUUUCCCAUAUAAAAAAUAAACUUAUCUUAAAUAAGAUAACACGUAAAGAAGCAGAUGGCAGUUAGGAAGCUCUCAGGAUACAUGGCAGUCUUUCCUCAUCCUCCACACUCUACAGGUCCUUUAAGGGUUGUUAGUUCUAUCAUUGAACUUUCCUCGGCUAGGUCUGCAGUCUCUCGGCCACGGUUCACUUGCCCAUGUAUGACAAAUGGGUCCUCAAAUUAUUGUGGGUCAGCUUUAUAUUUGGGGACUUGUUAAAGCCAUAACUGUGUCCUCUCCUGACCCCAGGGUUUGGAUGAGUUCUGAGCAUCUGUAAUUUUUUUCUCUUCGAGUUUCCUAAUGCUUGCCAAAGGUCCUGGUUUUCCACCUAUCCAUUAAUAAACGUGUUCUUACUGU
rnacentral:lncRNA from 1 species